rnacentral:misc_RNA from 1 species
UACGGAGGGUGCAAGCGUUAAUCGGAUGUACUGGGCGUAAAGCGGGCGUAGGCGGCUUUUUAAGUCGGAUGUGAAAUCCCCGAGCUUAACUUGGGAAUUGCAUUCGAUACUGGGAAGCUAGAGUAUGGGAGAGGAUGGUAGAAUUCCAGGUGUAGCGGUGAAAUGCGUAGAGAUCUGGAGGCCUACCGAUGGCGAAGGCAGCCAUCUGGCCUAAUACUGACGCUGAGGUACGAAAGCAUGGGGAGCAAACCGC